rnacentral:rRNA from 1 species
CCCUGGCUCAGGACGAACGCUGGCGGCAUGCCUAAUACAUGCAAGUCGAGCGAAUGAUGAAGAAGCUUGCUUCUUCUGAUUUAGCGGCGGACGGGUGAGUAACACGUGGGCAACCUGCCCUGUAGAUUGGGAUAACUCCGGGAAACCGGGGCUAAUACCGAAUAAUCCAUUUCCUCACAUGUGGAAAUGUUAAAAGACGGUUUCGGCUGUCACUACAGGAUGGGCCCGCGGCGCAUUAGCUAGUUGGUAGGGUAACGGCCUACCAAGGCGACGAUGCGUAGCCGACCUGAGAGGGUGAUCGGCCACACUGGGACUGAGACACGGCCCAGACUCCUACGGGAGGCAGCAGUAGGGAAUCUUCCACAAUGGACGAAAGUCUGAUGGAGCAAUGCCGCGUGAGUGAAGAAGGUUUUCGGAUCGUAAAACUCUGUUGUGAGGGAAGAACAAGUACGAGAGUAACUGCUCGUACCUUGACGGUACCUCAUUAGAAAGCCACGGCUAACUA